rnacentral:rRNA from 1 species
UAUGGCCAUAACUCCAUGUGCGUGCCUGGUGUCAUCUGAUCUCAGAAGCUAAACAGGCUCCGGCUUGAUUAAUACUUGGAUGGAAGAAAACAAAGUGUGCCCAUUU